rnacentral:rRNA from 1 species
UGGGGAAUAUUGGACAAUGGGGGCAACCCUGAUCCAGCCAUGCCGCGUGUGUGAAGAAGGCCUUUUGGUUGUAAAGCACUUUAAGCAGUGAAGAAGACUCCAUGGUUAAUACCCAUGGACGAUGACAUUAGCUGCAGAAUAAGCACCGGCUAACUCUGUGCCAGCAGCCGCGGUAAUACAGAGGGUGCAAGCGUUAAUCGGAAUUACUGGGCGUAAAGCGAGCGUAGGUGGCUUGAUAAGUCAGAUGUGAAAGCCCCGGGCUUAACCUGGGAACGGCAUCUGAUACUGUUAGGCUAGAGUAGGUGAGAGGAAGGUAGAAUUCCAGGUGUAGCGGUGAAAUGCGUAGAGAUCUGGAGGAAUACCGAUGGCGAAGGCAGCCUUCUGGCAUCAUACUGACACUGAGGUUCGAAAGCGUGGGUAUCAAACA